rnacentral:rRNA from 1 species
CCUACGGGAGGCAGCAGUGAGGAAUAUUGGUCAAUGGGCGAGAGCCUGAACCAGCCAAGUCGCGUGAAGGAUGACGGCCCUACGGGUUGUAAACUUCUUUUGUCAGGUAGCAAUUGGGUCCACGCGUGGGCUUAGCGAGAGUACCUGAAGAACAAGCAUCCGCUAACUCCGUGCCAGCAGCCGCGGUAAUACGUAGGGAGCGAGCGUUAUCCGGAAUUAUUGGGCGUAAAGUGUGCGUAGAUGGCAUAUUAAGUCUUUUGUAAAAAUGCUGGGCUCAACCCAGUAGGGCAAAAGAUACUGCAAAGCUAGAGUAUGACAGAGGCAAGUGGAACUACAUGUGUAGCGGUAAAAUGCGUAAAUAUAUGUAAGAACACCAGUGGCGAAGGCGGCUUGCUGGGUCGAUACUGACAUUGAGGCACGAAAGCGUGGGGAGCAAACAGGAGUAGAUACCCUGGUAGUC